rnacentral:rRNA from 1 species
AUGGAUUUAAGUCCAUCAUUGAUCUGCUGGAAUGUACGGGGAUUGAAUAACCCGGCUAAGAGGAAGGUGGCGAAGGAGUUUUUGGCGAUGGCGAAGAUGAGUUUAGUUUGUUUGCAGGAGACAACACUUGAUGUAAUUGAUCCUUUCAUCUUAAUGCAAUGCCUUGGUCAGGCUUUCAAUGGUUACUAUUAUUUGCCGGCUGUGGAGACGAGGGGGGAGUCCUCCUUGCCUGGGACUCCACCAUUGUUGAUGUGA